rnacentral:rRNA from 1 species
AGUGAACGCUGGCGGUAGGCCUAACACAUGCAAGUCGAACGGCAGCACAGUAAGAGCUUGCUCUUACGGGUGGCGAGUGGCGGACGGGUGAGGAAUACAUCGGAAUCUACUUUUUCGUGGGGGAUAACGUAGGGAAACUUACGCUAAUACCGCAUACGACCUACGGGUGAAAGCAGGGGAUCUUCGGACCUUGCGCGAUUGAAUGAGCCGAUGUCGGAUUAGCUAGUUGGCGGGGUAAAGGCCCACCAAGGCGACGAUCCGUAGCUGGUCUGAGAGGAUGAUCAGCCAAACUGGAACUGAGACACGGUCCAGACUCCUACGGGAGGCAGCAGUGGGGAAUAUUGGACAAUGGGCGCAAGCCUGAUCCAGCCAUAACGCGUGGGUGAAGAAGGCCUUCGGGUUGUAAAGCCCUUUUGUUGGGAAAGAAAAGCAGCAGGUUAAUACCCCGCUGUUCUGACGGUACCCAAAGAAUAAGCACCGGCUAACUUCGUG